UCAAUUUCUUUUGAAGAAUGAAUAUCUUAUGAUGCAUUGUCUUUCAUAGGAUAAAAGUCUUAUGUUACACUGCAUAAGUUUAUUUCCCCUGCCUCAUCUUGGUUUUUAUCAAUUUCUACAGGCUGAGAGUCUGCAACAUGGACCUGAUGAGGUCCACCGCAUUAAGAAAAUCCGGCCAGCAGACCACAACUACCUGUUGAGGUUGCAGGGCCUGCUACGCACAAUUCGAAUGGAGAAUGCUGGUGGAGGCAAUGAUGACGUUGGCCUGGAAGCAGCAGAAGAUGGAUGAGUAGUGUUAUCUCAGGGUCCACCAAGCACGACGGCACCGGUGAUGACAGGCACAACCAUGACUUUGUAUUAUUUGUGGAACCUAGUGUUGUGUAACAGUUUGAUUGAGUUAAACUUUAAAUAGACUAUUGUUAACUGUUUUGUUGGUAUUGUGGCUUUCAUGAUUGAUUGUUUCA